GUGCCAGCCGCCGCGGUAAUACCGGUGGCUCGAGUGGUGGCCGCUAUUAUUGGGUCUAAAGGGUCCGUAGCCGGCCUGAUAAGUUACCUGGGAAAUCCGUGGCUACCAUCGGCGGCCCAGGUAAAUACUAUCAGGCUCGGGACUAGGAGAGACCAGAGGUAACUCAUGAGGUAGGAGUUGAAAUCCUGUAGUCUUAUGAGGACCACCAGUGGUGAAGACGUCUGGUUAGAAUAGGUCCGACGGUGAGGGACGAAGGCUGGGGGCGCAAACCGGAUUAGAUACCCGGGUAGUCCCAGCAGUAAACGAUGCCAGCUAUGUGUUGCUGGAACCAUGGGUUCCAGCAGUGCCGAAGGGAAGCCGUGAAGCUGGCCACCUGGGAAGUACGGUCGCAAGGCUGAAACUUAAAGGAAUUGGCGGGGGAGUACCACAACCGGUGGAGCCUGCGGUUUAAUUGGAUACAACACCGGGAAUCUUACCGGAGGGGACAGCAGUAUGAAGGCCAGGCUAAAGACCUUGCCAGAUCAGCUGAGAGGAGGUGCAUGGCCGUCGCCAGUUCGUACCGUGAGGCAUCCUGUUUAGUCAGGCAACGAUCGAGACCCGCAGUCUUAUUUGCCAGCAUGCCCUUUGGGGUGUAUGGGUACAAUAAGACGACCGCCAGCGCUAAGCUGGAGGAAUGAGCGGGCUACGGUAGGUCAGCAUGCCCCGAAUCCUCCGGGAUACACGCGGGCUACAAUGGUCAGGACAAAAGGUACCGAACCUCGAAAGAGUGAGGUAAUCCACAAAACCUGAUCUCAGUCCGGAUC
rnacentral:rRNA from 1 species